rnacentral:rRNA from 1 species
CUGUUUCGAGAAGAGUGGGGACUGCUAUAUCGGGGCUUUCGGGCUCUGGUAUGAUGGAAACCAUUUUAAUCGCAAUGGCUUGAACCGGG